CUGGUGGUCUUUGACCAUCCGAGUUGUAAUUUAGAGAAGCGUCUUCCGCGCUGGACCGUGCAUAAGUCUCCUGGAAUGGAGCGUCAUAGAGGGUGAGAAUCCCGUCUUUGGCACGGACGCCCAGUGCUUCUGUGAUGCGCUCUCGAAGAGUCGAGUUGUUUGGGAAUGCAGCUCAAAAUGGGUGGUGAACUCCAUCUAAAGCUAAAUAUUGGCGAGAGACCGAUAGCGAACAAGUACCGUGAGGGAAAGAUGAAAAGCACUUUGGAAAGAGAGUGAAA
rnacentral:rRNA from 1 species